UACGAAGGGGGCUAGCGUUGCUCGGAAUGACUGGGCGUAAAGGGCGCGUAGGCGGCUGGCACAGUCGGAUGUGAAAUUCCCGGGCUUAACCUGGGGGCUGCAUUUGAUACGUGUUGUCUAGAGUGAGGAAGAGGGUUGUGGAAUUCCCAGUGUAGAGGUGAAAUUCGUAGAUAUUGGGAAGAACACCGGUGGCGAAGGCGGCAACCUGGUCCUUGACUGACGCUGAGGCGCGAAAGCGUGGGGAGCAAACAGG
rnacentral:rRNA from 1 species